GAGGCUAACACAUGCAGUCGAGCGCCCGUAGCAAUACGGGAGCGGCAGACGGGAGAGUAACACGUGGGAACGCGCCCUUCGGUUCGGAAUAACUCAGGGAAACUUGAGCUAAUACCGGAUACGCCCUUACGGGGAAAGAUUUAUUGCCGAAGGAACGGCCGCGUCCGAUUAGCUAGUUGGUGAGGUAAUGGCUCACCAAGGCGACGAUCGGUAGCUGGUCUGAGAGGAUGACCAGCCUCACUGGGACUGAGACACGGCCAGACUCCUACGGGAGGCAGCAGUGGGGAAUAUUGGACAAUGGGCGCAAGCCUGAUCCAGCCAUGCCGCGUGGAUGAUGAAGGCCCUAGGGUUGUAAAGUCCUUUUAACGGGGAAGAUAAUGACGGUACCCGUAGAAUAAGCCCCGGCUAACUUCGUGCCAGCAGCCGCGGUAAUACGGAGGGGGCUAGCGUUGCUCGGAAUUACUGGGCGUAAAGCGCACGUAGGCGGCUUUUUAAGUCGGAGGUGAAAUCCUGGAGCUCAACUCCAGAACUGCCUUCGAUACUGGAGAGCUCGAGUUCGGGAGAGGUGAGUGGAACUGGGAGUGUAGAGGUGAAAUUCGUAAGAUAUUCCGGCAAGGAAACAACCCAAGUGGGGCGAAAGGCGGGUUCAACUGGCCCGAAUACUGACGCUGAG
rnacentral:rRNA from 1 species